GAGUACGGGAGCUACUGCUUUGCAUGGGGAUGCUGUCCUCUUGAGGCUGCAACCUGCUGUGAAGAUCAUUACAGCUGCUGUCCUCAUGACUACCCCAUCUGCAAUGUUCAGGAAGGAACCUGCCUAAUGAGCAAGAACAGUCCACUUAGAGUGAAGGCUUCCAAACGCACUCCAGCAAUUCCCUACUGGGCUCACUCUAUCUCGGAGGGCAAGAGGAGCAGCGCAUAAGCCACAUUGAGCAGGUGAGGAGCGAGAAGCACAAGAUGAUUAUCAAUUAUGGAUGUCCUUGCCUUCAAUGUGGACUUGAGAUGCAGCAAUUUGCUGCAAUGCUUAUUGAAGAAGACUAGAAGCUCUUGUACAUGUCUAUAAGUCCAGGUGUUGGACAACUGAAAUGAUGAUUUUACAUUACUUCACUUCCAUUAUCAUGUAAAUUAACUGAAAUUGGAUUUCCAGUAAUUUGCCUAUAAACUCUCUCCAUGGAUUUUAUGUUGGUACUGAUGCUACUGGCAAAUGGCAUCAGCAAACUUGUUUGUAUCAUUCCAAGUA